rnacentral:rRNA from 1 species
GACGUAGGUGGCGAACGUUAUCCGGAAUUACUGGGCGUAAAGGGCGCGUAGGCGGCCUUCUAAGUCAGACGUGAAAUCCCCCGGCUUAACCUGGGAACUGCGUCUGAUACUGGAGGGCUUGAGUGCGGGAGAGGGAUGUGGAAUUCCAGGUGUAGCGGUGAAAUGCGUAGAUAUCUGGAGGAACACCGGUGGCGAAGGCGGCAUCCUGGACCGACACUGACGCUGAGGCGCGAAAGCUAGGGUAGCAAACGGG